AACGUAGGGGGCGAGCGUUGUCCGGAAUUACUGGGCGUAAAGGGCGUGUAGGCGGCCAAUUAAGUCAUUCGUGAAACCUGCCGGCUUAACCGGUAGCUUGCGAAAGAAACUGUUUGGCUUGAGUGCAGUAGAGGGGAGUGGAAUUCCCAGUGUAGCGGUGAAAUGCGUAGAUAUUGGGAGGAACACCAGUGGCGAAAGCGGCUCCCUGGCCUGUAACUGACGCUGAGGCGCGAAAGCGUGGGUAGCAAAC
rnacentral:rRNA from 2 species